UUGGACUAUGUGAAGCUAUAGUGCAAUUCACAAGGACCUUUAGUCCAACAAAACCUGCAAAAUCCCUACAUACACAGAAGAACAGGCAGUUUUUCCAUGAACCUGAAGAGAACUUCUGGAUGGUCAUGGUUGUACGAAAUCCCAUAAUAGAAAAACACAAAGAUGGAAAGCCAGUCUAUGAAUAUCAGGAA